AGUGAACGCUGGCGGCGUGCCUAAUACAUGCAAGUCGAACGGAGUGGCGCACGGGUGGGUAAGGUAUAGCUAAUCUACCCCCCACUAUAGGACAACAGUUGGAAGCGACUGCUCAUACUCCAUAGUGUAGGAUGCGGCGCUAUUGUAUCCGCUAGCUGGUGAGGUAAUGGCUCACCAAGGCUAUGACGCAUAACUGGUCUGAGAGGAUGAUCAGUCGAACUGGAACUGAGACACGGGCCAGACUCCUACGAGAGGCAGCAGUAGGGAAUAGUUCUCAAUGGGGGAAAACCGGAAGCAGCAACGCGGCGUGGAGGAUGACACUUGUCGGAGCGUAAACUCCUUUUGUUAGGGGAGCGGUACCAAACGAAGAAGCACCGGCUAACGCCGUGCCAGCAGCCGCGGUAAUUC
rnacentral:rRNA from 1 species